rnacentral:lncRNA from 1 species
UAAAAGACAAAGGAAGAUAAAGCUUAACGUUAAUUGAAAAUCCAUUAAUCCAGCAGCAAAAACUUGUAACUUCAUACAACAAAAGUAGUAGUAUCAAAUUACGGAAAAACAAAACUGAAGCAAACGAAACACAAAUGGAGAGGGGGGAGAGCGAAAGACUUGUGGAGUAGAGUGGUCUAUUUAGAUCGCUGUCUCAUCUUUCGUCUCUUCCUCUUUAACCUCCUCAUACGCUUCUUCUUCCACUGAACCAACAAAAAAAUAAAACCAGAUCCACAAUUAAUAAUUCUUCAUUUAGAACGGAAAUGACUAAACUUGGCUCCAAAUGGGGCAGAUGAAUCAGACAAUGAACACAGGAAGACUAGAAGAUCACAAAAUACCUUAGCUCUCAUCACUCCUUUUUGCUCAAAACCCUAAUCCUGGUGAGAGUGACAAAAGACGAUGAAAGAUCGGAUAUAUAUUCUACAAACCCUAGACAUUGAAACGAGACCAAUAUACAAGUAGGCUUUUCCUAUUGGGCUUUUAAGGCCCAUAUUAUAUUCUCCCGAAAUAAGUUUAACCCAGUUACCUCAACCUCAAGUCCACCGUAUCUUAAGUAAACUCUCAUUCUUCAUUUCUAAAGUUCCGGCUUAAACCCCGACGAUGUCUCUUCUCCGGCGAUUCGUUAAAAAGGCAAACGAUUACAGAUUCCUCCUUCAAUCGAACUCUGGACGUUCAUUCUCUACCGUAAAUCCCAAUCCAUUUGCUUCACCUGGUCGUCGCACUACCGCCGAAUUCGAUAACCUCAUCUACGAAGCCGGGAACUCCGGCGACUUCGAAGCGGUACGCCGUCUGCUCAACACCCGCGUCGUAAACGCUUGUUUCAACACAAGCGCAACAUUCAAAUUCCUAACAAACACCGACUCUUACGCCCCCUCCUUAGAAGAUCUCCGCCGUAUUUUGCCUCAGACCGACGCCGGCUACACGCGUAAACAUGCUUACGAAACUCUCAUCGCGCGCCUCUGCAAACUGAACCGGAUCGACGAUGCUCUGAUCCUGAUUAACGAUAUGGCGAUCGGAAAAUUCGAACUCUCAACCUCCACAUUUCAUCCGAUAUUAAACACGCUCACGAAGAAGAACAAGAUCGAGAAAGCUUGGCGCGUGGUGGAAUUGAUGAGAUCUCAAGAGCUUUCGAUGGACGUGACGUCAUACAAUUACUUUUUAACUUCGCAUUGUUACGACGGCGACGUGGCGGAGGCGAGCAAGGUGUUGAGGAAGAUGGAGGAAGAAGAGGGAAGGGUUAUGUCACCGGACACGCGUACUUACGACGCGCUUGUGUUAGGCGCGUGUAAAUCGGGGAAGGUGGAAGCGGCAAUGGCGAUACUGAGGAGGAUGGAUGAACAGGGGUUGCCGGUACUGUACGCCACGCAUGCGCACGUUAUUGGAGUGAUGGUGGAGAGUGGCUAUUAUACGCUGAGCGUUGAGUUUGUGAUGGCGUACGCCGGGAAAGAUAAGAGAUUGGAUGAAGAGAACUUGGGGAGUUUGGCUAGCAAGCUUAUCAAGAGGAAGAGGUUUAAUGAAGCUAAGUUGGUUUUGAAGGAGAUGAGUGUUAGAGGAUUGAGGAUGGGUGAUGCUUUACGUGGUUUUUAUGAGACCAAUGUGAUAAAGUCCUGAUUUUGAUUCUAUUAGAAGAUGAUCACCAUUUUUACAGAGAGCAAAACUCGAGUGAUACAGAAAAAAAUUGAACUUCUUACAGAAGGUAAAUGUAAUAAAGAGAGUGUAAGUGUAGCUGUGUAGAAAUGAGCUUUUUGCAAAAUAUCUCAUCCGGAAGCUAAAGGUCCAUGAUUAUACAAAUGAAUCUGUAUGUAUUUGUGGCUUCAAGUUGAAGAGUUCCUGUGCAAGUAUGAAUUUAUGGAUUUUACUGUUCUUAAGCUUUUUACAUGAAGGAGAACUUAUCAGAUAAGAUGGUGAACUGUUUUGUUUAAUUUACAAAGGAGCAACAUUUACAGCAACGUACACGUCUCUAGUUUUAUUUUCAAGGACAAAGAGAGGUUAUUUACUUUUUCUACUUUUUUUGGGGGGGAAUGAGUUAGUUUUGUGCAACCUCUACUUGUUGAAGAUGAAUGUGUGAUCCAUUCAGCUGAUAGUCCCAAUACCAGCUUCCUGUUUCCAAUACCUCUUCUUUCAUUGCUUCUAAGUUGAUGCUUAAACCUAAAUCCAACACCAAAUAAUGCAAUCAAUCCAUACUAGUGUCAAAUUAGUUUGGUUUCUUAUCUGUUCUAGCUUUUUAUAAGAUUCACUGACCUGCAUUUCCUUGCGUAAUCUUCAGUAUGUGACCAUCCGGUACUUCAAAAACAUGGUUUCCCUGCAAAAAGAAUAUAGAUCAAUUGGUUUGAAGCAGACACUCUAAUCCAUGACAAACUUCCGUGCUACUUUACUUUACCUCUACAGUUACAUUGCUAGCUUCGAAUUCUGCAUUUCCGUGCAAUAUGAUUUUACAUGUUUCAAGCCGGUUCACAUCGUUUCUCCAGUAAACAUUUGAUUUACUGUUCCAAUCGAUUCCUCGGUUCACUACCUUGACGUUAUGCAGUUUACACUUGCCACACCUACAAAUCAAGUUUUAUGUGUGAAUUCACAAAUGCAAACAGAUAGACAUGUAUCUCACAGAGAUAAUCUAAUCUAGUACAUGAUUCUUUUCUACCUUAAUCCGUAUUGUAAUAUUUGUUCACCAUGAUCAUUGAUAGUUGUUGAACCCAUGGCAUUUUCAGCAGUGACGAUCAAGCUACCAUCAACCUAUAGGGAGAGAAGGUGACUUAGAAUUUAAGUAACUCAGCGCGAUGGAAGCUAUGCGAAAUCUUGUUGGCAGAAUAAAGAUAUUGAGAACCUGAACAUUGUUCCAUGACAACUCUGCAAUCUCGAGUUGCACUUCUGAGCAACUGGAAAUGGACCCUCCCAUGAACUGUUACGACGAUCAGAUAAGAUUCAUCAUAAUAAACCAUUUGUUAGACUUUCUCAACCAGGAAAAAAAAUCAGACUAUUGACUUACUUUUUGUCUUGAAACCUCCCAAAGAGGACCGAGAGCAGGAUGCAGAAGAAUGAGAUACGGAGGUGGGGAAUCCACAUAGUUAUCAUUAGGUUGAAUCUGGAGAAGUAGAAUGAAUUAGUUAACUCUCAGUUUGAAGUUGUUACUGAUAAGAUUAACACUGGCAUGUAACAUAUCUUCAUGGGUCUGAAAUAUCAGUAGUAAUUAAAACAAGUCAUAUAAAAUAUAUGUAUCUAUGAACUUACCAUGGGAAGUUUAAUAUCACAUUCUGUAAGGAGCUCAUAUGCAUUGCGUAGUAUAUCCAACAAUGCACCAUCUGGAGUCUGUAAAGAAAGAGAUCAGUCUCAAAAUUAGUUAAACUCUGAAUAUAAUUCAAUUGAUACCAAAAGAAUGCAAUGGUAUAAGAAAUAUUACCUGGUGCAAAGCAGCACUUGCGUGUGGUUUCUUCUUCUUAGCUGAAGAGGUGACCUUUCUUCGUUCAUUGUAAACAAUAUACGUAUCCAGUUUAUCUAGUAAGAUAAAAUUAAGAGUUAGUGAUACCUAAAGACAGAUACAUUAAACAUUGCAAGACAGAUACAUCGAAUAAAUUUACCUUCUAGAUUGCCCUGGCAUCUAGAUGGAAACUUAUUUAAGAAAUUGUCUGCUAUGUUUUGCAUUGUGCAUUCCAGUCGACCACCCAAAACGCUGUCCAGUAAGUAAAGUAAUAAAAAAAUUGCUAACAAUUAAAGAAGAAACUCCUAAAAUUUAUCUAAAGUAGACAUUUCAAACUAAGAGAGUGACUGUUGAUUCCAUACAGAAAAAAAAAAAAAACAGGAAUCAGUAUGAAUUCCAUUUUAGCUAUAAGCAGCAGUUACGAUUUGACUGAGGCAUCUAGAUAGAAACAAAGAAUCACAAUAAGAAUUGUGACCUAUAACAAGGGAACAGAAGAUCAAUAUUAGGAAAUACAAACCUGUGAUAGUCUCCAUACUGAUCAAUGUACUCAAUUCGCUUCUUUGUAUUAAGAACCAUAUUUGGCAAACUUUUUGCAUUACGGCUCGACCCAAUUGACUCGGCAGAAUGUAAGUCAACAUAUAGAAUGUUUGUAUUGGCAGGGAAAUCCGCCUGCAAACUUCAGAAGUAAAAAAGAAUAAUGAUUUAAUCUUGCAGUCUGAGCUGAAGAAUUAUAUAAGUAUUGAAGAAUUACACUGAUAAAAAGCACUAGAAUUUUAACCAGAGAACCAAAAAGAAUAACUAACACUAUAGACAAAUAACAAAAGAGGAGAAAAAAAUUCAACACAUUUGUCAGCUAGAAUAGAGAUACUAUGAGUCAGUUCUCGAAUAUAUGCACCUUACGCAAGAACAAACUCAAUGAUAGAAAUAUCAUACCCAUUUGAAGAAGGAGACCUGUUGGAGACUCCAAAUUUAUCAAAUUCGGUGUACUCAAUGCACGAUAUACCAUAUUCCCACUUCCCAUCAAAAUUCUUCUUCUCCAUCAAUACAUUAAUCCCUUCGGUUGCUCCAGCAUUUCUUUUACAGGAUGCAAACCCAAGUUUCUGGCACAUUAAAUAAAUCAUGGUCUGUGGGAAUCAAUCGUUUGGAAGUCCAGAAAAGAUGUUCCUUUUUCUUGAGGUAGAGAGAUGAAUACAUGGUAUAUGAUCUCAACUAGUAUGCAAGUAUACCUUAUUAUACCGUAAGCCAAUCCCAGCAAGGGCCAAGAGGGUAACAUCUGUGGCAGCCACAACAUUGCUGCAAUAUCACAAUUAUAAACACUAAAUCCAGAUAGUUCUGAGUUUAUUUUAAUGAGCAACUUCAAAAGGGUACAAGUAACUAACCUAACUUGCCGAAUGGUUGCUCCCUUUCUUCCAUGAUUAAAAAACCAUUUAAAGACACCUUUGUCAUAAGCCAAUUUCCAAAUUGCACCAUGACCACCAGGUUUACUAACUGGCACAAAGGGCUUUGAUACUAUCCAUUGACCAUCUUCAGCACUGACAGCUGGGACGAGAGGCUAGAGAUCAAAAACCACAUACCAUUGAUUAUGAGUAUUAAUACUCAAUAUGAAGUUGUUAAAUUAAAAGGUAAAAGAAAUCAGAAGAAAAUGUAUGUCUCCGAUACCUGUUCAAAGAGACGGAAACUUGAUUCACCUCUUCCAAACCAUUUGAGCCGUUUACAAAGCGAAGUUACAUGCUCAUGGUUGUUCUUUGCAGCACUUGUCAUAAUGGCAACAGGUGUGACACAUUGCUUUCCAUAAAGCUUGAAGUAAAGGAACUCUCUAGCCUAGCAAUUAACAAAAAAGAUUCAUAACAUGACUAAUGCACAAAACAACAAACAGUUGUUCAUACCUCACAUUUUCCCUUUCGUUCUUUCAAACACAGAGACACAAAGAGUCACUCUAGUAAUUAGUGAAUAUGUACCUGAAGAUCUCUAAUAAGUCCCUCCAACAAAGUUCGUCCACAAUGGGCAAGCAUUGCUGCAGGAAGGCAUUCUCCUGUUUCUGUAUCAACCAACCCUAAUCUGUCUGCUGCACCUCCUAAGGGAUAUAUUUCACCUAAGUCUGGCAAUCCCUAAUAUUAACAACAACUUAUCAUCUAGAAACCAUACACAACAAAUUCCGUAAAAGUUCAAAAGCAAUAACACAUUAGUAACCUCAAUUCCCCAUAGAGCCGCCUGCGAGGCAUACUCCUUCCUCUGAGUGAGGUCAAGGACACUUGGAGUAUGCAUUUCUAAGUACUGGCAACCCAAGGAUUCUUCAACAAGAUGUGACCGGUUAGCAUUACGCCUCUUGGUUGAUUGGUGAAGAAGCUCUAGAACCAUAACCUGAUAUCUGACACACAAUCAUGAAUGUCUCAGCAGUGAAUAUAUCCCAAGGCAUCCUCGUAAGAUUUCAUCUAAUUCCUGUACUAAACCAAGUUAAGAAUUGGUACCCGAUAAUUCCUCCAAUGCAGUCGUAGAACUGUUCAAUUUCAUCCAGAAACCUCAAGAACUUUCUAAAGCGAGCAAUCUCCUCUGCAUCUAAAACUGUACCCAUCUCUCGUCUACCUUUAUAGCCGCUACUAUUAACAUCAAAUCGCUCAAUCAUCUCAACCAACGCGUAAAGUGCGUUCUUCACCGAACUUCUCACUGUAUACUCCUCUUCUUCUUCAAAUGCUUCCCCAUAAUUCAUACAUAGCGCGUGUUCCUGCCCCGCCGCGAUCACACACUUAACGAGAAACAUGUCUUUCGAAUUCAAACCAAGUGAACCUAAAACCUUAGCUAAACCGCCUCGAUUCUCGCUGAAGAAUCGACGAACUCUGGAAUCAGCGUCGAUAACCGCGUCCUUCCGCCGUAAGUCCUUGGAAACGUCUAGUUUCGCUAGGAGAGACUUGAGCCGAUCGAUUUCGGAUAAGAAAUCGUCGGAUUCGGGAGGAGUCGGAGUGGAAUACUCAACAGGCACGGUGGACACGUGUCUCACCUGGUGGUUAUUACAUUGCUGCUCGCUCUGCGGAAACUUCGAGAACAAUGAAGAAGAAGGGAGAAAGAGCAGAGGCUUUCUGAAAUGCAGAGAGGUGAAAGAAGAAGGAGACGUAGAAGUAGCGCGGAAGUGGAAGAGAGAGACGUGAUUCUGGUAAAUAGGAGAAGCUUGAGGAUUAGCCAUGGCGGGUGAGAUGGUUACAGAAGGAGGAGGAGGAGAAGGGAGGGGUUUUGAAGAGAACCCCAAGGAGGGAUAAGGAGAUAUACUCCAAGCAUAUACCCAGAUUGCUUCUUUUACUGUACGAUUGCUUCUUUUAUUUUUUUUUGGGCUUCGUUUGCUUUUCUUUUUUUGUGGAAAAUAAAAAUUAUAUAAUCCAACCAGCUUCGAAGGAUUUGAUUGUGUAGAUGAUGUGUGAUUGUCGUGUGUUUGUAAUCUGUAAUCUGACGGCUUAGACGACACCGUUUUGGAUUACACCGAUGGGCCAUCUUCAUUUGUUCAUGUCGACUGCUCCCAACAUUUUUCAUGUUCUUUUUUUUUUUUUUUUUGUCAUCUAUGUUCUUUUUUUUUUUUUUUUUUUGUCAUCCAUGUUCUUUUUUUUUCUUUCAUUUUUAACAUAUUUUAUGACUCUCAAAGUAGUCAGUAAUUCAGUAUUGUUAUGACGUUUUCGGGUGUGUUAUCGCUUGUCAGUAUAAUUGCUACCAUUUUCAUAAAGAAUUGCCAAAUCAAAGCACAUUUGUCAAUAUUAUGUUCUUACAAGUGUGCAUAUGAAGUUAUGUUUGAUCAUUAGUUACGAUAUCUCUUUCAUGUGGUUUAGUAUUAUUAACUACGAUACCUUUGCAUGUGGUAUAUAGGAGAUGGAGUGUUAAUAUGUGUCAAAUAAUCAGCAAAUAAAUCGAUUAUUCAAUUGUGCAUUGAUUUCGAUUCUGAAUAAUGCAAUCAUGGAGUAUCAAAUUGAGAGAACCAUCUUCAACUAAAUUAUUUGAUCGAGCAAACCUUGUGAAAUAGACUUUGAUCGGUUUGCUCUAAAGAUACUUCAGAAACUGAUGAUUAAACAAUUAAAAGAACAUAGUAACUAAUUACAAACACCAUCAACAUUAUGCACACCAAAAAAGGGGUCUUACCGUGAUCUCGCAUAUGUUCUGUUUACGACAUAUAACAGCAAAUGGAUCCACUGGAUUCUUUAAGCCGUUAUAUAAACUAAGUUCCAUAGAUUUAUAUAUAUAUAUAUAUAUAGAUGAAAGCAGCCUAAAGAGAAGCAAGGAGCUUCAAAAGAGACUCAAAAAAACCUCACACAAUCGUCAUAUUAAUACUUACAGAUUUGUUGUGAAGCAAAGUAGUACUAGUCUCUUCACGCAGUUGACAGCACUUCCAGUUCUGCCCACCAGAGAGCUGAAAGUUUUGGAAUCGCAUCGUCUGGUGAUAAUCCUGUGAUCUCCCGUAAUCUCCCUGUCACUUCCUUCAUUGUCGGUCUCUGUUUCGGGUCUGCCCUUAUGCAGCUUUUGAUCACUUCGCCUAUAUUCUCAAUCUUCUCAUCAAAACUCUCCAAUGUUGGAUCCGCCAUCUCCCUUAAAGUCUUUCCUCUCAAGAAAUCAGCCAAACCAGUAUCUAUUGAGUCGCCUUUCCUAACUGACUCUGGGAGUUUUCCAGUCAUCAAUUCGAACAACAGCAACCCAAAGCUGUGAACAUUGUCUUCUUGUGUCGUUUCUGAAAUGUUUGUAUCUAUGAGUGCAUUGGUGCUGCUCUCUGUCUCUGAUGGGCCUUUUAGGUACCCGAAAUUGAAAUCUGCAAUUUUGACUGCGUAGUCCUCUGUCAGUUGAACUGAUGACGAGAGAAGACUGCUGUGGACUACAGGUGGUUUGAGCCCGUGCAUAUGGUCAAGACAAUAUGCUAUGCCCAUUGCUAUUCUUAGCCGCAUUACCCAGUCCAAGUGCUCUGACUCUUUAUCUGCAACAAAGUCAUAUUGUUUCCCAUUUUUAAACUGACAACUUACAGUGUAACGACUCAUAUGACUAAGGAGCUUUUUCACUUACAGUGUAGAUGUUCAAAAACUGAUCCGUUUGAUGCAUAUUCAAAGACCAAGAUCCUAGUGAAAGGUGCAUCUUCUUCACAGUAACCAAGAAGGUUGACAAAAUUCUUGUGGUUUAUCUUGGAUAACAUUUCGAUCUGAAAUGAUCCAAAACAUAAACGAUAAGGCAAAUAUGAACCAAAAUCCAUUUAAAUAUAAGGGAACUGGCUGACUGGAAAUACCUUCUUUCUGAACUGCAUUUCGAUGUUAUUAGUCCAUUCUUUGGCAGACGCGGUAGCAACAGAAGCCACAGCUAUUUCCACCCCACUAGAUAGUGUCCCUUUGAACAAAGUGCCAAUGGGACAAGACCCAAUGACAUUACUGAAUUCUUCACAGGCAGCUUCAAUCUCAGAUCUUUUGAGUUUGGGGACACCUGAGUAACCAAAUGGCACACAUCAUUAAUAUGGAAACCAAAAGAAAAUGGACAAGCACGUCAAUUAAACCUCAAACUUCCAGAAAUAAAAAUGACACUUAGUAAGACACUAAGACUGUAAGAGCGAGUAGAAAGGCAAUUACCAGUUAUGAACACUUUCUGAAGCUGUCCACUAAGACCUGUACGCCAAGGAUUCACAGAUUUCCCAGCCUUACUCUUGAAAAAGAAGACACCAGUUGCUAAAAGGAGGAUAAACACAGCACCGCCUAAGCAGCCAGCCACUAUAGGAACCGUGUUGUUUGAAGAAUUUUUGGAGCUUCCUCUUAGGAUAGGAAAAUUCAAAUGGGGCACAAGAGGAGGUGGAGCAGAAACAUGUAGUGCAGGAGAACUUUUUGGCGGUGGAGGCAACGUUGAGGCUUUAGUAGCUUUAGUUCUCGGAGAAGAUGACGGAGAUGUAGCUCUUGCCACAGGGCGGUUCUUGUAGCUAUUCAAAUGGGUGUACGGGUUACGAAAACGGCCAAGUAAUUUCCUGUGAAAACCAACUGCUCUCCUACAAAAAGGUCAAAAGGCAAAAUGAUAUUUGAGUACACAGGAGAGCAAACAGAUACAUGUUUCUAAUUCAAAUGGAAUAAACGAGUGUGCCAGAGCACAGUCAAAGUAAAAUCAGCAAGUCUUAGUAUAAAAAUGCGUAAAACACAGUGUCGGUCUUCAUGUAGUACUACUCAAGAAAUAGUAUUAGUUCACUCAAAAGAAAAAAACUAAAAAGUAAGCAUGGUGUUAAAAAAAGUCAUAGAUCUACAAAAACCAGCUACAUUGAUGUUGAUGUUCAACCAAAAUUCAUGUUCAAAUCAUGUUCGCAAAAACUAUUCAUUCUACAUUGAACAAUCAACUUAAUAGUGGCUAAAACACUAGAUCUUACAUAGCAAGCUCAGAAACCUAAUCUGCACAAGUAUAAAAACACCUCAUGUAAAGCGCAAGCAUCAAGUUAUAAAUCUAAAAAUCAUCAACGAAGAGGUCUUAUCCAAAAAUACUUAAAACUUACUAAAUCAAUCCAGCUGCGUUAACAAACUAAAAAAAAAAAAAAAAAAAAAAAUCACAGAACAAAAAAAUCGAAAGCUGCUGAUACUUACAAAUCCUCGGCAUCUCCAUCUGACAACAGAUCUUUCGUCACAAAAUCCAGAUAACCCACACCUGAAAAGCCAAAAUCGAAACAGCAAUCAUCAGCAACUUGCUUCUAUUUACCGGCGGCAAUCAAAAGAAAAAGUGAGAGAGAAUCAAAAACUAGUAAAUAUACCAUGAGAUGUCAACGAAAAGCAAGAACCGAAGCUCAAAAUCACCAGAAGAAACAGGAGAGUACGAUUUGGAAGAGUUAAUCGAACAAAUUUCCAGUUAUCACUCAUUGUGAGAAGACGACAAGUGGAAGCAGGAAGCUAAUCAACGACACCGGAAGCUGGAAAUACCAAAGGCUCGAUUUGAAUCUGAUACGGCUAGAUUGGAAGAUGAAGAACAAAAAGAAAUCAAAAAGUUAAGCUAAAAGAAGAAGAAGAAGGAAGAGAGAGAGAGGUUUAGAGUUUUGAGUUCGCAUGGCGGAGGAGACGAUUAGAAAGAAGAACAUGACUUUUCAACUUUAGAGUUUUUUUUUAAUUUUAAAGCGCGUGUCCCCGUGGUUUGGCCCCGAUAAUAAAUUAAAAAGUAUACAGAGACUCUCAGAGAGAGUAGUAAAUUUAAAUAAAUAAAAGGCAAUAACUUCUUCUUGUUGACAAAAUAAAUAAUUAAACAAUAACGUACAUUUAUUUUCUUUUAUGAGAAUUGAACGUAUAAUAAUAUUCAACUGUAUAAAUAAGGAAGAAGAAGAGAGUAACACAGUUUUAGCAUAACAUGUAGAAAAGAUAGAAGAAAUCUAAAACCAAUGGACGUGAAGAUGCCAGAGUUCAAAAAAGGUAUCCAAAAGAAAGAGGCCAAAGCCACCGGUCACCACCACCGUCGAUAAAGACUUGUUUUGAUGUUAGCAGCCCUUUUCUGUGGAAUAUGGUUUAUAGUAAAAAACAUAAAACAAUGGUGGUGGUGGGAGGAUAUAUACGCCACGUGGAUUUAUUUUGUUGUAAUCAUGUGUUGGAUAGUGGAAUGAUUGAAGUUGAAUGAUUGUGUUUUUUUUUUUCUGUUAUUGUUAUUAUCAAUUUAUCAUUACGGGAUUAAGAAAAUUAUAAUGAUAAUUUUUUUUCUUUUUUUUUUUCUUCUGAUGACUGAUUCAACGUGGAGGUUUUUUUCUUUUUUUUGGUAUUAUGUUGGCUUAGCUGUUGUUAAAAUUCAUUCGUUUUCAAUCCAACUCUUUGCCAUGUGGUCAUGGUCAUGGAUGUAAUGGGUGUGUAUCGCGUACGCCCCAAUUUUAUUUUUGCUGGCGCUAAAUUCGUUUAUAUAUUCUCAGAUUUUUUAGGGUAUGGAGAAGUGUUCCAUAAUUGUUGUUAUUGACACACCGCCCACGUUUUGUGGUGUUUAUCCCAUUCAAAGAGACACAAAGAAGUGUUCCAUAAUCAAUCUAUCUCUAUUCUUCCACGAUCUCUUGUCGAUCAUAUAUAUAUAAAGUACCCAUAUUGCAGCUACUACCUGAUUUUAUUGUUUACGGGCCUAAUGCUAAUGAGCAGAAGAUGAAAUGUUCUUGAUUCAACAUUAACAUAACCAUACAUAUAUGUUCCGAUGAGAUCAAUCCAAACACACAUGUUCCGACAAACACUCAAAAUUCAUUUUGGAAAUUUGGAACUUUUGAGUCUAAUCAUAAUGUCCAAGUCCGACCAUACCUUUUGAUAUGAUCUACAUCCAUUCUUCAGCUUAAUAUAUGCAUUUUCUUUGGUAAUCAAGUUAGACACACAAUUAAUCCAUCAGAAAAUUUUCAAAUCAAUAAAAAAUAGUUAACUCAUGAAUAAAAAGUUCGACAUAAUGUUUUUUGUUGUUGUUGUUGUUAAAUAAGAGCUUCAUUAUUGGUUGAAUGGAUCCGAAGAAAUUAAAUGGUUGACUAGUAUGUAUGUAACGGUCUCGCCGUAAUCUGAAAGCCAUCGAGUUUUUGAUUGGAGGAUGAAGCAAAAAGAGCAAAUCAAAUACUAUUAUAGAAUUUUACAAAAUUCACCGCCAUGUCUACGCGUACGUAAUCUAACUUCAUCUUUACGUAAGUUUAUGCCUUCUCUGUUUUGGUCACCUUUAUACUUAUUAGUAUUAUAGUCGUCACUUUGUUUUUUGGUCUUGCAAGUGCAUAUGCAUGCACUUUCAUGGGAAACUUUGCUUGAAGUAAUUGACAGUCAGAUAGUGCUGCGGCAUAUAUAUAAUAUAGUACUUACAAACUAAAUUUUGAUGGGCGUUAGAGUAUUAAAAAUAUAUAAUGGGAAACCUUAAAGAUCAAUGCAUUGAUUAUAUUUGUCAUUGACUUAUUAAAUG